UAGAGAUGCACAACCAAUUAUGAUUAGACAUAUAUAUGUUGGGCACUAUGUUUCAGGUAAUAAGUUCGAGUCUUAGCAUUCGUGUAGUGUAUGUGAGUUUAAUGAAAAAAUAAAAAAGAAAAAUGGUAAAAAAAAAACUUUUGAUUGAUGAGCGGAUCAUGAGAAGCCAAGGCAACAUUGUCUGGACAACUGAACCGCCAUAUAUGUUUAGUUUAUGUCCAAAAUUGGAAUUGCAUUGUUUGCUUUGCCCAGACUAUCGACUGAUGCCUUUUUGGGUUGUAUUUUGCGGUCCCG
rnacentral:lncRNA from 1 species